rnacentral:rRNA from 1 species
AGAAUCAACGCUGGCGGCGUGCCUAACACAUGCAAGUCGCACGAGAAGGGGUAGCAAUACCUGAGUAAAGUGGCGCACGGGUGAGUAACACGUGACUAAUCUACCCUCGAGUGGGGAAUAACUGAGAGAAAUCUUAGCUAAUACCGCAUAACACCUACGAGUCAAAGCAGCAAUGCGCUUGGGGAGGAGGUCGCGGCCGAUUAGCUAGUUGGCGGGGUUAAUGGCCCACCAAGGCGAUGAUCGGUA